CAGGUGUGGUAAUUACCAACACUUUACCAAUGAGGAAACUGAAGAAUGAACCAAAUUAAGUCAUCCCCAGUGAACACAGUGACAGCUGGGCAAGCUGGGAUUUGGACUCAGGCUCUUUGACCUCAGAACCCAUGCCUUUGACUGCUGUGGAAUUUUGCCUCCUUCCAGCAGGUGAGCCUGGAAUCUCCACAUCACAAGACAAACCUUGUCAUCUCAGAUCAUGAGUCACAGCCAGGGGCUGUCUUAGAACCGGCUCCUCCUGCAGCAAAAAACCUGAAGGAAAGGAAAUUACUGAGGAAGAAGUCCAGGCAGUCCUCUUCCUGCCCAGGCAGCCAGAUGAGACCUGGUUCAGGCUACAUACCUCGCAUGGUUUUGCCGGGGAUUUGAGAAGGAGGUGCCAUUAGUAAAUCCUGGUUUACAGAUGAGGAAACCAAAGUUCAGCGAAGUCACAGCUUUUCUCAAAGCCAUGCAUCUACUGAAACUCAAGUUUUCUGCCCCAAGAACCUGCUCUCUUAACUAUUAUGCCAUCUUCAGACCCUUAGCCGAGAAAUCACGGAAGGAGAAAACCCAGGAUCAAGGAAGGAGAAAACUCAGAAUCAUGGAAUCAUGAACCAUCUCAGACUCAUUUAACCUCCCCAUCUGACAGCUGGAGAAGCUGAGGCCUAGAGAUAAUCACUCAGUUCUUCGUCUAGGAAUGGACUAGACAAGAGCGGGGAGGCUCUGGUUCUCCUGUUUCCCGGAGCCCGGCUGGAGGCUUGCAGUUGUGGUAAGUGACAGAUGGCACCUCAGUCACCAGGCUGAAGGCACCUGGGGACGCUGUGGUCAGCCUGGGUUGGCAGCCCACCUCCCACACUGGCACUGCAGGCAUGGGGCUUAGCAGCUCUGACUGAAGGGAGCAUGUGUGGCUGGAGGGCAUGAGUGAGGGUGACUCAUGGCCUUUGUGGUAUGGGUCACAGCUGCUCAGGGGGCAUCCCAGCCUACAGGAGGCAACUGCCAUCUGCACUGUGUUGGAGAGCCACUCUGAACCCACGUGCAAAGCAGAAGAGACACAGUGUGCUAUAGUGUGGCAGCACCCCACCAAGACAACUGUGCCCAGCCAGCUCUGCCCUUGCGCCUUCCGGCUGUGUGACCUUGGGCAGGAGGUCAUCUCACCCGGAUGUGCAUCUCACUCUUCUUAGACAUUCAUGAGUAAAAGAAACUGUACCCAGGCCAUUUUGGAGAUGUACGGAACUACUAGUGGGCCAAUGCAUGAAAAGCAGCAAGCAAAUCAAAGACCUUUUGCAAUCUAAAGGAUUGUUCCUUUAUGUUAUGAAUUGUAUAUUACGUAUUGUUACUCUUAUGGCUGGGAAUGCUAAUAUUAACUUACCUCAUUAAAUCAUUCUCAAAGGAAACGUGGUGGUGAAAUGUUGUCUGCAGGUGGGGUAUCUAUGAGCUCUUUGCUCUGUUACUGCAAAUGUUCUGUGAGUUUAAACCUACUUCUAAAAAUUUGCUUAA